rnacentral:rRNA from 1 species
GACGAACGCUGGCGGCGUGCUUAACACAUGCAAGUCGAACGGAAAGGCCCUUCGGGGUACUCGAGUGGCGAACGGGUGAGUAACACGUGGGUGAUCUGCCCUGCACUUUGGGAUAAGCCUGGGAAACUGGGUCUAAUACCGAAUAGGACCACGCGCUUCAUGGUGUGUGGUGGAAAGCUUUUGCGGUGUGGGAUGGGCCCGCGGCCUAUCAGCUUGUUGGUGGGGUAAUGGCCUACCAAGGCGACGACGGGUAGCCGGCCUGAGAGGGUGACCGGCCACACUGGGACUGAGAUACGGCCCAGACGCCUACGGGAGGCAGCAGGGGGGAAUAUUGCACAAUGGGCGCAAGCCUGAUGCAGCGACGCCGCGUGAGGGAUGACGGCCUUCGGGUUGUAAACCUCUUUCAAUAGGGACGAAGCGCAAGUGACGGUACCUAUAGAAGAAGCACCGGCCAACUACGUG